GAUGAACGCUAGCUACAGGCUUAACACAUGCAAGUCGAGGGGCAGCGCAGUGUAGCAAUACACGGGCGGCGACCGGCGCACGGGUGCGUAACGCGUAUCCAACCUUCCCGUUACUCAGGGAUAGCCUUCCGAAAGGGAGAUUAAUACCUGAUGGUAUUCAAAUUUCGCAUGUUAUUUGAAUUAAAGAUUUAUCGGUAACGGAUGGGGAUGCGUGACAUUAGGUAGAUGGCGGGGUAACGGCCCACCAUGCCUACGAUGUCUAGGGGUUCUGAGAGGAAGGUCCCCCACACUGGAACUGAGACACGGACCAGACUCCUACGGGAGGCAGCAGUGAGGAAUAUUGGUCAAUGGGCGAGAGCCUGAACCAGCCAAGUCGCGUGAGGGAUGACGGUCCUACGGAUUGUAAACCUCUUUUGUCGGGGAGCAAGAGCUCUACGCGUAGAGUAGUGAGAGUACCCGAGAAAAAGCAUCGGCUAACUCCGUG
rnacentral:rRNA from 1 species